rnacentral:rRNA from 1 species
UAAGCGGAGGAAAAGAAACUAACAAGGAUUCCCCUAGUAACGGCGAGUGAACCGGGAAGAGCUCAAAUUUGAAAUCUGGCGUCCUCAGGGCGUCCGAGUUGUAAUCUAUAGAGGCGUUUUCCGUGCCGGACCGUGUCCAAGUUCCUUGGAACAGGAUAUCAAAGAGGGUGACAAUCCCGUACUUGACACGACGACCGGUGCUCUGUGAUACGUCUUCUACGAGUCGAGUUGUUUGGGAAUGCAGCUCAAAAUGGGUGGUGAGUUCCAUCUAAAGCUAAAUAUUGGCGAGAGACCGAUAGCGAACAAGUACCGUGAGGGAAAGAUGAAAAGCACUUUGGAAAGAGAGUUAAACAGUACGUGAAAUUGUUGAAAGGGAAACGAUUGAAGUCAGUCGUGACCGAGAGGCUCAGCCGGUUCUGCCGGUGUAUUCCCCUCGGUCGGGUCAACAUCAGUUUUGUCCGGUGGAUAAGGACGGUAGGAAGGUGGCACCCUCGGGUGUGUUAUAGCCUGCCGUCGCAUACAUCGGGUGAGACUGAGGAACGCAGCUCGCCUUUAUGGCCGGGGUUCGCCCACGUCCGAGCUUAGGAUGUUGACAUAAUGGCUUUAAACGACCCGUCUUGAAACACG